rnacentral:rRNA from 1 species
AGUGAACGCUGGCGGCAGGCCUAACACAUGCAAGUCGAGCGGCAGCGGGUCCUUCGGGAUGCCGGCGAGCGGCGGACGGGUGAGGAAUGCAUCGGAAUCUGCCCUGUCGUGGGGGAUAACCUAGGGAAACUUAGGCUAAUACCGCAUACGACCCACGGGUGAAAGCGGGGGAUCGCAAGACCUCGCGCGAUAGGAUGAGCCGAUGUCCGAUUAGCUAGUUGGCGGGGUAAAGGCCCACCAAGGCGACGAUCGGUAGCUGGUCUGAGAGGAUGAUCAGCCACACUGGGACUGAGACACGGCCCAGACUCCUACGGGAGGCAGCAGUGGGGAAUAUUGGACAAUGGGCGCAAGCCUGAUCCAGCCAUGCCGCGUGGGUGAAGAAGGCCUUCGGGUUGUAAAGCCCUUUUGUCCGGGAAGAAAUCGUCUGGGCUAAUACCCCGGGCGGAUGACGGUACCGGAAGAAUAAGCACCGGCUAACUUCGCG